GACUUGGCUUUCACCUCAGGAACUCUUCGAAACAGUUGUUUUGAAGGCAAUCUGCUAAGAUGGUUUGUGAAGCGCCGUUUUCUCUGCCCAUCUUGAGGGGGGACGGCUCCUUCCGCCACUUGGUCAAAUUACGGAGUGGGGCUGCUGUCCUUUGACAUGACUCUGUCCCCCCGGCCUCAGUGACUGUUGAGCAAUGCGUACAAUUAAAGUCAAAACCCUGGAUUUUCCCUCUCCAGCAUCCACAGGCUGCAGAGAGUGGAGCCUGGGUCUCUCUGUGCCUAAAUGAUUCGGUGGAGUGAGUGUCACUGUCCAAGGGAGAGAAAGUGAAGCCUGGAGUACCAAGCAUCUGUGCUGCUGGCUGGAUACUCAACCAAACACUGAAUCAGGGCACUGGGCCUUUAAGACAGAAGAAAACACAUUCUGGCGGGGUGGAGCCUGGCCCAAUUAUCCAGGUGCCGGGAAGUUGCUGGGGCCUGCCUUUGUUAGGAUCAGGUCUUGGUGGUUCUGGUUUGCAGUUCUGGCAGCACCAGCCCCGCUUCCCUACUUCCCGCCACACAAGGAAGGUUUGGCAGCGCAGGCACCCGGAAUCCAGAGCUUCUGCGUCUGCCGAGUGCCCUGAGCAAAGAUGCAGGCCCUUUCUGCUGGGGUCCCCGCUGCGGGCCGACUCCGGUGGGAACCACCUCUCUGAACCUGCAGAGCCUAGGCUCCUCCAGCUGGGCCACAUGUUCCCAAGGGAGGCGGCCGAUGGUAGGACUGGCCCGUCAAGGAGAUGCCAGUGUCCAGAGAGGGAGGCCUGAUACCCUCCACUGUGAAAUCAGACCCUGUAAAGCUGGUACAGGAGGGGCCUCCCCAGGAGACAAACCCGCCCUUCCUUCCUGGUGGUUCUUGGCUAUAAACUUUGAUCAAAGAAAACACUAUCUUUCACAUCUUUCCAAGCCUACCCUUCAGCUCCAAGACUAAGAAUUAGACCCUCUCCUUUUACCUCCUAAGGGUCCUUCGGGGAGGAUCCUCUUCCAUUCCACAAGAAUUGACUCAGUGUGACUGGGUAGACAGCUCCUGCCAUUGGUGCCCCUGAAGGAGCCUGGUCGUCUUUUCCCUACCAUACACACCCUCUGGUCUCUGCUCGCCCACCCGCCAUGCAACAGAAAUUUUCUUCUGUAACUUGGGGAGGAUAAAAUAUUUUUGGUAGCGAAGGGUUCAGAGAAGAU
rnacentral:lncRNA from 1 species